UACGUAGGUGGCAAGCGUUGUCCGGAUUUACUGGGCGUAAAGAGCGCGCAGGCGGUCGUUCAAGUCGCGUGUGAAAGCCCCCGGCUCAACUGGGGAGGGUCACGCGAUACUGAUCGACUCGAAGGCAGGAGAGGGUAGUGGAAUUCCCGGCGUAGUGGUGAAAUGCGUAGAUAUCGGGAGGAACACCAGUGGCGAAGGCGACUACCUGGCCUGUUUCUUGACGCUGAGGCGCGAAAGCUAGGGGAGCAAACGGG
rnacentral:rRNA from 1 species